AAGGAUUUAAGUUAUAAAAUAAACUAAGAAUCUUCAAAAUUCUAAAAAAAGAAUUCUCUUUAAGCCUUA
rnacentral:tRNA from 1 species